GCCGAUAUAGCUCAGUUGGCCAGAGCACGUGAUUUGUAAUCUCGGGGUCGUGGGUUCGAAUCCCUCUAUCGGCUCUA
rnacentral:tRNA from 2 species